AAAGGGAGACCUAAUUCGGGUACGGGAUGAAAAAAAAGUAGUCCCAACCAAGAAUCAAUCCCAAAAGGUCGGAGCGAGGCGAAAUUGGCUUUCAAACUAGGUUCUGGGUUCACAGAAGACCUGAAUCAGGAACAAGGGCUAUUAGCUCAGGUGGUUAGAGCGCACCCCUGAUAAGGGUGAGGUCCCUGGUUCGAGUCCAGGAUGGCCCACCUGCACAGGUGGAAGAAAGAAAAGAAGCUCCGAAUCAGCACCUUAUCUUACUUAUAUAGUAAGAGAGAAUGCUGGCUCUGAGUACAGAGUCCAGAGGAACCUUGAAAACUGCAUAGAGCUAGGUGAAAAAGCCAAAAAAGAAGACCGCAAG
rnacentral:tRNA from 1 species